CCAAGUCGCGCCCUUUAAAAGCCUGCGUUUCGACAGCGCUGCCAGUCAUUCCUCCUUCAGUAUUCGGAGAAGCUAUACGUCCGCUUGUAUCUGUAUUUUGUGUGUGUUUGUGACUCAACAGCAUGGCCCCGAUUCAGAUGUACGCUCCAUCCCCUGUGCAGGAACAAUCCACCUCAGCGAGUGACCGUAUUGGCACAUUUAGAAGCUUUGAGGAACGUAAUUCGCAAGAAAACCAUAGGCCUACUUUUAGCGAGGACAACCAGUGCUACAAGGUACAGAUUCCCUGCAGUCAGCUGCUUUUACGAGCACGCCAUGUAAAAUACGACCAAACUACUUCAUUUACACUACAACCUCGGGUGUCUCCUUCUCCUGCCCAGAUCGUGGUGGACGUGGAGGCCUUCAUGGAGAGCGGCGUGAGGUUCGACGUGGUGAACGAGAACGAACUGAUCAUCGAGAGCUGCGCGGAGAACGGCGAAGGGAACUCCGUCUCGAGGAAGGGCCUCUACCGCCGGUUCCGCUUCCCGAGCCUCGUCAGUGUUGAUACUGUGCGAUCAGUGUUGUCCUGCGACGGCAUCCUUACCAUCACCGUAGCUAAGAAGGUAACAUCUGAUUCAAGUAUUGGAGACAUUUCGUAGCUUUAAAGAAACCGGAUUGAACACAAAAUUAGAAAGCUCGUCUCAUGUGCGCGGCUGAACAUUCAAGACGCCGGCGAAUGAACACGCCGGAGAUGGAAAAGUCUUCUUGAGAAAAAAAGAUCUUGGGGAAAUCCUCUCGAGAAAAGGCUUUUGUAAUUAUCUUCGCCAGGAGUUGCUGUCGAUGUUAUUCUCAGGAACGUCCUUGGCUUAUAUCAAAACACCAGACUGAAAAAUACCGUAUUUCCCGCCGGAGGUGCGACGACGCCUUGAGUGGAUGCGCGAAAAAGUGCGCCUCCGCUCAGUGCUGGCGAGAUUCAUGUCAUGUGCGAUUCAGAGGAAAUAAAUACAUGUGGAACAUCAGUGCUCUCCUGGUCUUAGAAAACACGUUCGACUAGAUUCGUAUUGGAUUGGUGGAAUUUGGGAGAUGAAGAAGCAAAUCGAUCACUGCAAGACAGAUUCCAGCACAAGUGCCUAUAAGCACUGUGAUGGCACUUGUAAAAUUAUUGUUAUUACACUGCCUGCAAGGCUUCAUUUACAUCCAUUGAUGGCAUUCCUUAAUAAAUGCAAUAUGCCCC
rnacentral:misc_RNA from 1 species